rnacentral:lncRNA from 1 species
AGAAGGGAGCUGCUGUCUGAGGAGGAAACUGCAUCUUCGCGGGCCAGCUACGAGAGGAUCUGGGGUCGCGCUGGGCGCCCGACGGACCCUCCCCAGGGACUCGCCUGCCCCACACCGCCCGGCCUUGCCCGGCGCUCCGCGUCAGGUUCCCCAGCCGCAGCCUUACCUACGGGCUCCAGAAUCCUCAGGGCUUCCAGAGGAUGCUCAGCCCACCGACGGGGACCUCGGGGCAGCAGUGAGGGGGGCACCCAGCCCCCCAUUCAGCUCCUGUCCUCUUGGGCCGGGGGCCUCCCCGGGGGGAAGAGCAUGGUGGUUUUCCCUUGGAGCCCCCUGGCUUGGUACGUCUGAGAAGAUGCCUGCCAUGAGGCUCUUCACUUGCUUCCUGCAGCUUCUGGCUGGGCUGGCACUGCCGGCUGUGCCCCCCCAGCAGUGGGCCUUGUCUGCUGGGAACAGCUCAUCGGAGGUGGAAGUGGUGCCCUUCCAGGAGGUGUGGGGCCGCAGCUACUGCCGGGCGCUGGAGAGGCUGGUGGACAUCGUGUCUGUGUACCCCAGUGAGGUGGAGCACAUGUUCAGCCCGUCCUGCGUCUCCCUGCUGCGCUGCACCGGCUGCUGUGGCGACGAGAACCUGCACUGUGUGCCCGUGGAGACGGUCAAUGUCACCAUGCAGCUCCUGAAGAUCCGCUCUGGGGACCGGCCCUCCUACGUGGAGCUGACAUUCUCUCAGCACGUGCGCUGCGAGUGCAGGUGGGUCCUGGGGUGUGGCAGGGACAGUCCCCACGCACUUGGCAGCUUCAGCCCAGGGGCUGCCCAUUCCUGCUUCAGGCCACACUUCCUUCCUGGCUGAGGCAGGCCAGGGAGACCGGGGGCCAGGGGCAGUUGCCUUGUGUCUCCCCAGCAGCUGGUUUUGCCCCGGGAAGUGGUCCCAGCAGCUGGAGCACAGCUGCCAAGAAGCCACAGGGACAAAGGGAGCUGGGGUCCCUCCCAGACUUGCAGGGGGCUCGGGGCCCACCCUCUCCGACCCUGAGCAGGAGGUGGCUGCCACAGCCCUAGCAGAGGUGCCUGGAUUUAGUUGUAGGCCAGGCUGGUGCCUACAGGAGGGGUAGCUGGGCUGAGAAGCACAAGACGACAAGCCUGGGUGGGAGGAAAGGGACAGAGGGAAGAAGGCCCUGGCUUUCUUUCAAGUCACACCCCUGCCUGGCAGAGCCUCUCAUUGGCACCAGUCUUGCUGUGGGUGCCCAAGGCACUCUGCACGUUAGUUACCGGGAGCAGCAGGGCCAGCACUGCCAACCAGGCUCAGGGAAGAGAAAAAUGGGCUCAGGUGCUCUCCUGGUGCCCCUCAGCCAUGGAUGGAGGCGCCAGGCCAGAGGUCCCAAGCCCUAUCGGGGGGCAGGAAGAGGGGAGGAUCUCCAUUUAUGGGGCACCUACUCUGUGCCUUGAGGCACUUGAAUGUGUUUUCUCAUUUAUUUAACAAACAUCUAUGGAGCACCUACUGUAUGCUAGGCACUGUCCCAGAUGCCUGGGUACAGUAGUGAGCAAGACACACCAGGUCCCUGCUCUCAUAACAACCCCAGGAGGUAGGUACUAUUGGCGUCCCAUUGUGCGGAUGAGGAAACCGAGGCUCGGUGUGAUUCUGUGAUUUGUCACAGCUAGUGAGUCAACCCCAGCCUGUCUGACUCCUAAGCCUGCCCCUUUCCUGCUCCCUGUCAUGGCCAUGGCCUCACUCUUCAGGAGUCCCAGACUGCCCUGGCCUUGGUCCUGCCUAGAGUCCAGGACACUGGCCACCCCUCGUGGACCUGUACCACUGUUAGAGGCCCUGCCUCAGUCUGUUUCCUCCUGUCUGUCCUUAGCCGUGUAACAAUAGUUCAGUAAUGAACCCUUUCAGACACAGUACUGGACAAUGACCUUUCACCUCCCACAUCACCUUUGCCCUCACAGUUGGUCUAUUAGGGCAGGUAGAUGAGGAGACUGAGGGCCCUAGAGUGUCUCUGACUGGUCCCAGAUGGCAGAGACAGGACCAGGCAGUUUCAGGAAGGGCUGGUACCGUAUCCUGGCUCCCCCCAGCCCUAAAGCUGACUGCACCACACUGCCCCAUGCCCUCACCCUGGUUCCCAGGGAAGACUGAGGCUCCGUCCCCUUUCAGAGGGCUGGGCAACAGGGCUACCUUUCUCCUCUCUCGGGGUCAACAGCCACAGCCCUGAGAGGCAGAGCCAGGACAAGCUUGGCGACUGUGGGGCCUGUGCUCCCCUCCCUUCACCCCACUCCUCACCUGAGCCCCUUGCUGUUGCCUGCAGCGUCACACAUCUCCAGGAUGGGGGUGCAGCUGUGCCCUGACAGGUGGCCUUGCCCCUCUUUCAUGGUCUGAGGAGACUCCCAGAGGGCAUUCUGGAAGGAAGAGCAGGCACAAGGGAAGAGAGUGAAACAAGAAAGGUGGCAGAAAGGAGAGUCAGUCCCCUGAUUUGACGCCAAGAGGGAGAGUAGAGCAGAGGGUGUGGAGAGGACCCCAAGAGGGCAUUCACACCUCUCUGCAUGGGGUCACCAGAGCCUAGAGUGGGAGCCCCAGGCCCCAGACUUCUGGGCAUCGCUCCCUCACCUCUGCGGGAGAAGAUGAAGCCAGAAAGGAGGAGACCCAAGGGCAGGGGGAAGAGGAAGAGAGAGAAGCAGAGACACACAGACUGCCACCUGUGCGGUGAUACUGUUCCCCGGAGGUAACCAGCCCCUCGGAGGAGAGAGACGGAGACCCCACGCCCGGCUCGUGUAUUUAUUACCGUUACACUCUCAGUUACCUCCCUGCUGGCACCUGCCCUCUAUUUAUUAGCCAAGUGUAUCCCUGCUGAAUGACUCACUCCCUUCAAGAUGAGGGGCAGGAAGGGACAGGACCCUCAGGAAUUCAGUGCCUUAAACAGAACGUGAGAGAAAGAAAGAAGACAGAUCCACGCGUGCGUCAUCUGGGGAAGAAGCAAGACUUGUGGCUUUGUGAGGGGCGUGUCACACCCCAGAGGCCUGAGGGUCUCCAGGGUGCUGGAGAGGGAGGGACGGGGGGGACAUGCCACCUGUCCCCAGGGCCUUGGGCUCUGCCGGGACCAGCAGCCCUUGCCUGGGGAGCUCCCUGCCGGGAUGAGGGUGGAGGAGCCUUCUCUGGCCGCCGUGGCCCCUGCCGGGAGGGCGGGCAAGCAGCAGCCCCGCGCCCUGGAGACAGGAUGUUCAGCUCUGGAGACCAGUGGUUGCCUGGGGGCCUUUGCCACUCCUUGUCCCCUAGGUCUCGCCUCAUAUCUUACCACCGCUUGUGCUGGGACAUUGCUCUUUAUGCCAAGGCAUCCCCACCUGCCCCUCUCGGGGACGCAGGCAGAGAGGGCCCAGGCUGGUCAUGGAGCAAGCUGUCCCCGCGAGGCCGUCUGACCGCCAAGCCAGAUUCUCUUGAAUAAAGUACUCUAGUCUGGAAGCGGCUUUCCAGGGGAGUGAGUGUGACCACGAGAGCAGAGGGCAACAGCGGGAAUGGGAGCAGUACGGGACAAAAAGGAACCGUGGGCCGCAAGGCUGCCCAUGGCCCGGCUCCAGCCUGCCCCUGCCCUUCCCUGGCCUUCUUCUUCCAGCUGCUUUAGGCACCACCCUGAGGCCCAUGCCUCCCAGAAAGAGGGUUUCCUAAGAUGGAGCCUUGGCCCCAAACUUGGGGGCACCUGACCCCGGUCAACCCCAAACACUCUCAAAUUCAAGAACAUGGUCCCGGAGUUCCCGUUGUGGCACCGCGGAAACAAAUCCGACUAGGAACCAUGAGGUUGCGGGUUCGAUCCCUGGCCUUGCUCAGUGGGUUGCGGAUCCAGCGUUGCUGUGAGCUGUGGUGUAGGUCGCAGACGCAGCUCGGAUCCCAAGUUGCUGAGGCUGUGGUGUAGGCCAGCCCCUGCAGCUCUGCUUUGACCCCUAGCCUGGAAACCUCCCUAUGCUGUGGUAUGGCCCUAAAAAGC